UGGGACUUUAUGAUUUUAUGACUGACAGCUCUCCUUCUUGAUAACAGAUCAUAAAGCAAACAUGACUUUAAUAGCCAUCAUUAUUUGGACACUCACAACCUGCAUCUGGAGUUCUGUGGGACAGAUUCUGACACAAUCUGAAAAUCAAACAGUGAAUCCUGAUCAGACCGUCACUAUUCACUGUAAACACACACCAGCUGUGAAUUGUAUUAAAAAGGAUACCUCUCUGUAUUGUAUGGCCUGGUACCAUCAGAUUCCUGGAGAUGUUCCUAAACUCCUGACCUAUUACACAUCAGAGAGAGCUUCAGGUGUUUCUUCUAGAUUCAGUGGCAGUGAAAGUGGAAACCACAUGGAUUUUACUCUGACCAUCAGUGGAGUCCAGCCUGAAGAUUCAGGAGUUUAUUACUGUCAGAGUCAACAUGGUAAUAAAAAAAAAGACUCAGAGGAUCUAGACUGGGUGUUCACACAGUGUGAAAGCGUCGUACAAAAACCUCUUUGUGUGAGACUGCAGCGCUGCAGCUUUGAGCUUCUGCAGAUGUUGAAGAUCAUUAUUCACCUCACUGACUUCACACACAAACACAGAGAAUUUUAAAGGCUGCUGAACUGUUGAUGUUCAUUAUCAUUACACACUCUACUUUCAAAAUAUUUUAUCAAUAAUAAACACCAGAAUAUCUCAAUCAGGUUU